rnacentral:rRNA from 1 species
UACAGAGGGGGCAAGCGUUGUUCGGAAUUACUGGGCGUAAAGGGCGCGUAGCGGCCGCCUAAGUCAGACGUGAAAUCCCUCGGCUCAACCGGGGAACUGCGUCUGAUACUGGGUGGCUUGAAUUCGGGAGAGGGAUGCGGAAUUCCAGGUGUAGCGGUGAAAUGCGUAGAUAUCUGGAGGAACACCGGUGGCGAAGGCGG